rnacentral:rRNA from 1 species
CAGUCGCCACGGUAAUACGAAGGGGGCUAGCGUUGUUCGGAUUUACUGGGCGUAAAGGGUGCGUAGGCGGACUGAUAAGUCAGGGGUGAAAUCCCAAGGCUCAACCUUGGAACUGCCUUUGAUACUGUUAGUCUUGAGUUCGAGAGAGGUGAGUGGAACUGCGAGUGUAGAGGUGAAAUUCGUAGAUAUUCGCAAGAACACCAGUGGCGAAGGCGGCUCACUGGCUCGAAACUGACGCUGAGGCACGAAAGCGUGGGGAGCAAACAGGAUUAGAUACCCCGGUAGUCCCUGUCUCUUAUAC